AGCGUCGAUUUGCAUACAUAAACAAUAAUCGAGCAUUGAGCAAUUUUUGUGCAAUUAAACAUUUAAAUAGUAAUACAACAUUUAGACGCAGAAUCUGUAAAAUCACUAUAAUAAAUACAAGCUUUUGCUUUACAGUGUAAAAAGAAGAACCCAGUAAAUACGCACCAGAGAGGAAAUAACAUUUUUGGUAAUAAAGUGCUCCAAAAAGCAUUUAACAAGAGCGUUCACGUUGCCUUUCUUAUUGACCUUCUUUUAUGGGAAAAACAUGUGUCAAACUACGGACCUCCUAAUUCUGGGGUCGAUGCUGUUACUACUACUCUAAUCACUUUAUAUUAAAACCGAACUUAAUAGUUUUAAUUGAUACGGAACUCUUGGCAGCCAUCGCAACCGAGUGUAUUUGUUGCUGGUUUUAAACUUAAAAAAUCGUUGAAGACAGAAAGGAAGGAGGGGGAUGGAUUGACUUUUUUUCACAUAUAACACAAUGUAACAACAAUUUGUUUAUUAAUUUUUUAAUGUUUCAUAUAUAAUUUUGGUAUGCUGAUUUCAGUGGUACCAUUGGUUUUGUUCUAUUAUCAAGAUUUCCUGAAAAAAGCAUAAAGUAUAUUUCGGAGUUUUCGUAUAUGUGUAAUGCAUUUAUAACAUUAUAUAUUUAUAUAUGCUCAUUUUAACUCAUUCUCUCCGCUGAGCCACUGUCAGUGGCUUGGUAUAUUUUGCGUCUUUUUUCUAUAACCCCACUUUUAAUAUUACACUUCGUGAUUAUAGUUUCUUAGGUAUUCAGUCGUGACAUUCUUUGUUAUUGUUUAUAUUUAUUUAUGUUGAUUUAAAGCACUUUUUCAAUAAAUAUUAGCACAUUUUGGGUACGAUUUUUUUUAACAAAUGUUAAUGAGAGAAUGAGUUAACUAUAUUGUUUUGUUUAUUUUUAGUUUAAAUAAUUACAACUGUUAUAUGAAGAGAUGAGUAUGUCUAGUAGAUCCUGCAAGCUUUACCCUGACUCAUUCUGUUAUGUUUGUGGUUACUAUAUUAGUCCAACACAAACUAAAUAUAAGAUUGUCAGUAGUACAAAAUUCUUUACUGCAUAUCAUGCCAAUUUUGGCAUGGCUAUGGGAGAUCAGGACAAAUCGUGGGCACCACACUACAAUUGUGGCAGCUGUAGAUCAACUCUGGAAGGAUGGCUGCGUGGAAUCCGAAAGUCAAUGCCUUUGCGAUUCCGAGAAUAUGGAGAAAACCGACGAACCAUCACGAUGACUGUUAUUUCUACAUGGUUGACAUUUCAAAGUAUAAAAAGCUGAAGGAUAGGCUGACUCUAGUUUAUCCAAGUAUUCCCUCUUCUAUUGGACCAGUUCCACACAGUGAUGAAUUGCCUGUUCCUAACCCACCUUAAUUAGAAGAAACAGCUGCAUAUCAUUCUGAUGAGACACACCGGAUUAACUAAGUGAUGGCUGUAAUUUCUGCGAACCGAAUGAUUCACCUCAUUUCCCAAACCAACAAGAACUUGAUGACUUAGUACGAGAUUUAGUUCUCACUAAAUCAAAUGCAGAACUUUUGACAUCACGUUUGAAAGAAUGGAAUUUAUCGGAUUCAGACUGCAGAACCUCGAAAUACCGAAAAAGACAUGAAACAUUUGCAUCCUUUUAUGUAGUAUCAGAAUCACUAUGCUAUUUAUUCAUUGAUUAUUUAGAAUGACUGUGCUAUUUAUUCAUUAUUCAUUGACUUAUUCAUUGACAGUUCAACAAGAAGUCUAAAGGGAGUUUUGCUCCAUAGCGGAAACCAAUUUCCUUCGAUUCCAGUAGCUCAUUCCGUUCAUCUAAAGGAAGACUACAAGAACGUGAAGUUGGUGUUUGAGAAAAUCAAGUACGACAGUUACAAAUGGGAUGUAUGUAGAGGCUGUAAGAUGCUAGCAUUCCUUCUCAGUCUACGAGGUGGAUACAAAAAGUACUCAUGUUUUCUUUGUUUAUGGGAUAGCAGGGCUGCAAACCAGCACUUCACGUGACGUGAGUGGCCAGUGAGAGAACAUUUACAGCCUGGUUCACACAAUGUAAUUAAUCAAUCCCUGAUACCUGUUGAGAAAAUCUUACUCCACCCCUUCACAUUAUACUAGGUCUUGUCAAACAAUUUGUCAAAGCAUUAAACCCGGCUAGUGCAGUGUUCCAACAUAUUCGGCAGAUGUUUCCAAAGGUGUUGGUCAGCAGAUUAAAGUUAUGUUGGCAUGUAAGGAACUUUCUGCUGUUGAAAAAGAAGCAUGAAUAGCGUUUAGACAUGUUGUUUAUGGUUUUUUAGGCAACAAUAAGAGUGAUAACUACAAAGAGCUUGUGGAAAACUUAAUCGUACGGUAUAGAUAUGAAAUGCAGAAUGUCAAUAAAGCUGCAUUACCUGCAUUCACACUUAAAAUUUUUCAAACCAAAUUUGGGUAAUGUGAGUGAAGAGCAUGGAGAAUGUUUUUAUCAGGAUAUCCAUGUAAUAGAGAAAAGAUACCAAGGCAGUUGGGAUGCAGUUAUGAUGGGUGACUACAUCUGGUGUUAGAUACGCGAUGACGACAAAAUUUGUAAAAGAAAACCACGUUCUACUGUUCACUUCUAGUGUUUUUUGAGAUUUUGAGAGACAUUUACCGACAAUUACAUUAGAACAUAAUGUAAAAUUAUGUAAUAUAAGUAUGUAACGUGAUGUAACAUGACGUUUUGUAGCAUAACAUAACGUUUUUGAACUAGUUAAUUUUAUAUGUUGACUAAAUUUGUAUCUCAUGCAAUAUGAUUAAUUUAAAUUAUAUGUUUAAUUGAAA